GGGCAGUGGAGACAUUGUCCUUCAGUUAGGCUGGCCCCAGAACAGGUGCUGCAUGGCUGUCGUCAGCUCGUGUCGUGAGAUGUUGGGUUAAGUCCCGCAACGAGCGCAACCCUCGCCCUUAGUUGCCAGCAUUUAGUUGGGCACUCUAAGGGGACUGCCGGUGAUAAGCCGAGAGGAAGGUGGGGAUGACGUCAAGUCCUCAUGGCCCUUACGGGCUGGGCUACACACGUGCUACAAUGGUGGUGACAGUGGGCAGCGAGACAGCGAUGUCGAGCUAAUCUCCAAAAGCCAUCUCAGUUCGGAUUGCACUCUGCAACUCGAGUGCAUGAAGUUGGAAUCGCUAGUAAUCGCAGAUCAGCAU
rnacentral:rRNA from 1 species